UAUUUUUAGUAGAGAUGGGGUUUCACCGUGUUAGAACUGCAUGGGUCCUUUCAAAGCUCUUGGCCCGCUCUUAAUGUUGUCAUACACACUGCAUCUACACACAUUGUAAAUUGUUUUCAAAAGUGGCUGUACCAUUACACAUUUUCAUCAGUAAUGUAUGAAAAUUCCUGUUGCUCCCCAUUCUUCGGUAUGGACAUAAAAAAUAAGUGGGUUCAAAUAAAUGUGUAGUGGUAUCUCACUGUGUAUCAAUUUUAAUUUAUCUAAUAACUUAUGAUGUCUCUGUAUUGUCUUUUGACUUAACAGUGUGUUUCAAAGAGC
rnacentral:lncRNA from 1 species